UACAGAGGUGGCAAGCGUUGUUCGGAAUUACUGGGCGUAAAGGGCGCGUAGGCGGUCUUGUCAGUCCCUUGUGAAAUCCCCCGGCUCAACUGGGGAACUGCACGGGAAACAGCAGGGCUUGAAUCCGGGAGAGGGAUGCGGAAUUCCAGGUGUAGCGGUGAAAUGCGUAGAUAUCUGGAGGAACACCGGUGGCGAAGGCGGCAUCCUGGACCGGUAUUGACACUGAGGCGCGAAAGCCAGGGGAGCAAACGGG
rnacentral:rRNA from 1 species